ACUCUCAGCUGACUCUCCCUUAGCUGGGAACGAAAAAAAAGAAAAACCCUAAGGCUCCGAAGAAAAAAAAGGGAAGAAAAACCCUAGCCGCCUCCAGCUCUUUCCUCUCUUCUCCUUUCAUAUCGGACACUCUCUCAGCUCUCACGGAUUUCCCUCAGCUCUCGAAAAUAAACCCUGCAUCCUCACCUUCUGCCUCUCCCUGCAAUUGCUACUCCCUCUCAGCCGUUAGUUCUCUGUGUUCCUCAUCAAUCACUCCAUCAAUCUGAUCAUUUUUUUCCCUUGGCAGCUCGAUAUUGACAGUGAAAGAAGGAACCCAUGGUUGCGUGCCCAGCUCCUCCCCGUUCCUCCUCCUCGUUCCUCCUCCUUGCUGUCCUAUUGCAUCAUUUCCCGUGCUGUGAGCUGCUGUUGCCCAUUCUUCUGUGUUGCUUCUGUUCGGGGGCUUCAACUGCCCGUUGUACCGCUGCUACUGAGCUACUCGCGUUUGCUGCUGCCUUCCCCGAGUCGAUACCACUGAUGCUCAACCCUUCUCUGAGAAACUCAAUCGAUGAAAGAGUGCUAGCUCGUUUGACAUGAUUUCGACAACUUAAAGUCACGUUUAUGCUAUAGGCUUAGUCAUGUGCAGCUUGGGAGGAGAAGACAAGGAAUGAGGAGUCAUGAGAAGGAAUAAGUAUGGAUUGACUCCAAGACGACGUGGAGACUUACCUAGGCUUAGGUUGAGUCCCGACUUGAAGGCCGCCCCGGUCCGUGGUAGUCAAGGAUCUUUCGAGCUAGCUCAUCCUGAGAAUCUCUUGGGAUCAGGUAUAAAUCUCCAUCUUAGUAACAUGCGAUAGGUAUUUCGAUGUUCGAUGAGCUUGACAUGAUUGUGUGCCCGUGAUUUGUGUGUUUGGAUGUUUCCUUGAUAAUUUAAUUAAAAUCUCACACGAAUUUGGAUUAAUCAUGUAAACUCAGUUUAAAAAUUGAAUUUAAAUUCAGGACAGUCAGGAAUUAGAGCUUUUGUCAGACA